ncrna:unclassified sequences DTF805b RNA
AUAGCGGAACCCGAAAAGCUGAUAGAGUAGGGA